rnacentral:misc_RNA from 1 species
GAUGAAGAACGUAGCGAAAUGCGAUAAGUAGUGUGAAUUGCAGAAUUCAGUGAAUCAUCGAAUCUUUGAACGCACAUUGCGCCCCUUGGUAUUCCAUGGGGCAUGCCUGUUCGAGCGUCAUUUGUACCCUCAAGCUUUGCUUGGUGUUGUGCGUCUUGUCGUAUUACGACUCGCCUUAAAUACAUUGGCAGCCGGCACUUUGGCCUAGGAGCGCAGCACAUUUUGCGAUCGUAGCCCGUUGUACUGGCGUCCAUCAAGAACAUUUACCACGUUUGACCUCGGAUCAGGUAGGGAUACCCGCUGAACUUAAGCAUAUCAAUAAGCGGAGGA